GGGUGAGUAACGCGUGAGUAACCUGCCUCUAAGAGGGGAAUAACAUUCUGAAAAGAAUGCUAAUACCGCAUAACAUAUAUUUAUCGCAUGGUAGAUAUAUCAAAGAUUUAUCGCUUAGAGAUGGACUCGCGUCCGAUUAGUUAGUUGGUGAGGUAACGGCUCACCAAGACUGCGAUCGGUAGCCGGACUGAGAGGUUGAACGGCCACAUUGGGACUGAGACACGGCCCAGACUCCUACGGGAGGCAGCAGUGGGGGAUAUUGCGCAAUGGGGGAAACCCUGACGCAGCAACGCCGCGUGAAGGAUGAAGGUCUUCGGAUUGUAAACUUCUUUUAUUAAGGACGAAGAAAGUGACGGUACUUAAUGAAUAAGCUCCGGCUAACUACGUGCCAGCAGCCGCGGUAAUACGUAGGGAGCAAGCGUUGUCCGGAUUUACUGGGUGUAAAGGGUGCGUAGGCGGCUUUGCAAGUCAGAUGUGAAAUCUAUGGGCUCAACCCAUAGCCUGCAUUUGAAACUGCAGAGCUUGAGUGAAGUAGAGGCAGGCGGAAUUCCCCGUGUAGCGGUGAAAUGCGUAGAGAUGGGGAGGAACACCAGUGGCGAAGGCGGCCUGCUGGGCUUUAACUGACGCUGAGGCACGAAAGCGUGGGUAGCAAACAGGAUUAGAUACCCUGGUAGUCCACGCUGUAAACGAUGAUUACUAGGUGUGGGGGGUCU
rnacentral:rRNA from 1 species